rnacentral:rRNA from 1 species
GGAAAGAUUUUUCGGUCUGGGAUGGGCUCACGGCCUAUCAGCUUGUUGGUGAGGUAAUGGCUCACCAAGGCGUCAACGGGUAGCCGGCCUGAGAGGGUGACCGGCCACACUGGGACUGAGACACGGCCCAAACUCCUACGGGAGGCAGCAGUGGGGAAUAUUGCACAAUGGGCGAAAGCCUGAUGCAGCAACGCCGCGUGAGGGAUGACGGCCUUCGGGUUGUAAACCUCUUUUAGCAGGGAAGAAGCGAAAGUGACGGUACCUGCAAAAAAAGCGCCGGCUAACUACGUGCCAGCAGCCGCGGUAAUACGUAGGGCGCAAGCGUUAUCCGGAAUUAUUGGGCGUAAAGAGCUCGUAGGCGGUUUGUCGCGUCUGCUGUGAAAUCCCGAGGCUCAACCUCGGGUCUGCAGUGGGUACGGGCAGACUAGAGUGCGGUAGGGGAGAUUGGAAUUCCUGGUGUAGCGGUGGAAUGCGCAGAUAUCAGGAGGAACACCGAUGGCGAGGCAGAUCUCUGGGCCGUUACUGACGCUGAGGAG